rnacentral:tRNA from 1 species
AUUUAAGUAAUUUAAAAUAAAAUUUUGAUUUGUGGGAUCAAAUAUGUAAAAAAUUUACCUUAAAUU